rnacentral:other from 1 species
GGGCUUCUGCUCUUCUCGUGUGCACAGGCACAUUCCGGUGGCCUUAAAUAUCUCCGAGGGAGCUGGCUCUGACCGGAUCCUGGUCCGGUUACCUGGCGCCCACCUGUACAUGCAGGUCCUCGGGAAUCCAUGCCUUUCACGGUCGCUGCGGGGCCCGU